rnacentral:rRNA from 1 species
GACGAACGCUGGCGGCGUGCCUAAUACAUGCAAGUCGAACGCAUCUUCUUUCACCGUAGCUUGCUACACCGAAAGAAAAUGAGUGGCGAACGGGUGAGUAACACGUGGGUAACCUGCCCAUCAGCGGGGGAUAACACUUGGAAACAGGUGCUAAUACCGCAUAAUUCCAUUUACCGCAUGGUAGAUGGGUGAAAGGCGCUUUUGCGUCACUGAUGGAUGGACCCGCGGUGCAUUAGCUAGUGGGUGGGGUAACGGCCUACCAAGGCUGCGAUGCAUAGCCGACCGGAGAGGGUGAUCGGCCACACUGGGACUGAGACACGGCCCAGACUCCUACGGGAGGCAGCAGUAGGGAAUCUUCGGCAAUGGACGCAAGUCUGACCGAGCAACGCCGCGUGAGUGAAGAAGGUUUUCGGAUCGUAAAACUCUGUUGUUAGAGAAGAACAAGGAUGAGAGUGGAAAGUUCAUCCCUUGACGGUAUCUAACCAGAAAGCCACGGCUAACUACGUG